GCUGGGCAUGGUGGCACGUGCCUCUAGUCACAGCUACUUGGGAGCCUGAAGCAGGAGGAACGCUUGAACCCAAAAGUUCUGGGCUGUAGUGAGCAAUGCCAAUUGAGUGUCCACACUAAGUUCAGCAUCAAUAUGGUAACCUCCUGUUAGCGGGACCUCCUGGGCUGGCAAAAGAGGGGUGAAUGGACCCAGGUCGGAAGCAGAACAGGUCAUAAUUCCGGUGCUGAUCAGUAGUUGGAUCGCCUGUGAAUAGCUACUGUGCUCCAGCCAGGGCAACAUAGCAAGACCCUAUUUUAA
ensembl:misc_RNA Metazoa_SRP Metazoan signal recognition particle RNA